GGUUCUAUAGUGUAGCUGGUUAUCACAUCGGAUUCUGAUUCCUUCAAAUUAUCUCUUCCGGUAACUUGGGUUCGAAUCCCAAUAGGACCU
rnacentral:tRNA from 1 species